GACGUAGGGCGCGAGCGUUGUCCGGAUUUAUUGGGCGUAAAGAGCUCGUAGGCGGCUUGUCGCGUCGACUGUGAAAACCCGCGGCUCAACCGUGUGGUCUGCAGUCGAUACGGGCAGGCUAGAGUUCGGUAGGGGAGACUGGAAUUCCAGGUGUAGCGGUGAAAUGCGUAGAUAUCUGGAGGAACACCGGUGGCGAAGGCGACAUCCUGGACCGGUAUUGACGCUGAGGCGCGAAAGCCAGGGGAGCAAACGGG
rnacentral:rRNA from 1 species